GUAGCCAAGCCGGGAAGGGAUAAACGCUGAAGGCAUCUAAGCGUGAAGCCCCCCUCAAGAUGAGAUAUCCCAUAACGUCAAGUUAGUAAGACCCCUUGAAGACGACGAGGUAGAUAGGGCAGAGGUGGAAGUGCGGUAACGCAUGGAGCUGACUGUUACUAAUCGGUCGAGGGCAUAACCAAA
rnacentral:rRNA from 1 species